GGUAUAGUUAGUUGCAUUAGUUACUAGUUAGUUAGUCUAGUUAGUUAGCCUAUAAAUAAGUCAAUUGUACCUAAUUUUCUUAUCAAUUGUAAUUGUACUCAUUAUCAUCAAUACAAAUUUUUUACUUUUCUCUCUACUUUUCUAUGGAUGCCAUGAUUCUUAACAUGGUAUCAGAGCAAAUUUGGUAUCCACCUUGAACAAAUUUUCCGCUGCAUUUUCUUGAGAAAAUUCAAUUUUCUCAUACCUCUUUAGUUUCUUUCUCCCAAUUUCAUUCACAGAAUCAAUUUCCCCUAUCCGUUUAUUUCACCGAUUCAUCAUCUUCUUCAAUUUCGUUUUCGAUUGAGUUCUUGAUGUUGCUUCGCUCAUAUCUGUGUGAUAUUUGCAGAUUGAUUCGUUCUUGUUCCGUUGCUCUUCUCAUUCUUUGUUGAAAAUUUGUUUUCGAUUCAUUUAUCUGAAUUCAUCUUUCUUCCUUUAUCCAACAUCCAGAUUCAUUGAUUUUCGUUUUCUGUUGAGACUCCGGCAUGGCACUUUCAUUCUAGUUAUUUUCCCCAAAUUCUAGGGUUUGCGAUUCCAUUUGCAAUCGCAUUUCAGUUCACUGAAUCAUUCAUUUCCGCUUCCGAUCUCAUCACGACUAUGUCUGGUACUGUGAUAUUUGAUAAUUGCUUGGUAUGACGCAUCAUAGAGGAUGCGAUUUGAUUCAAAGUGACAGAGGUUUCAAUUCGACGAUUCUUGGAAGAAUUCGUGUUGAUUGUUAUUCUCUUGGAGUGUUAUUUUCUGCGUUAACAUGCAAAGGUUCGGAGUUUAGAUUGCUCUUGGUGGUGAUCUUUGCCUCUGUUUUCUCCAUCACCUUCAUUGCUUUGAGCCCUACAACAAGUUACUGCUAGAGUAUGGAAUUAAUUUGAUUUGGUUUAGUGGAGCAUUUCUCACACCUAUUGUAUGUUGGAGGAAUUCUUUGGGAUUUUAGUAGCACAAAGUUCUGUUAUUGUUGUUGGCCUUUGCGGUUUGUGAGUGGCUUAUUGGACUUGCUACUGGUUUUGCCUCUGAUUUUGAAGAUUAAAGGCUGAUUUGAGUUCUUUAAUCUACUCUUUGUUGCCCUGUUUUAGGCAGGUGCUUAGCCAUAUUGGCUUUGUUGCAUUUAUGCUAUCUCUUGAGCAGGUUGUAUUUGCUUGCUUUGUCAAGUGGUUAGUUGGUUUUUUUUUAUGUGCUAUCUCAUCUUGAGCACAACAUUGGUAUUGAUGCUUUACUCUCUAGCCAUCAACCACGCUACUUGAUCUUUCUCCUUGAUUUGUUGGUCCUUAGAUGAGCUAAUUACCUUUAGCACAACUUGAGUAUUGAUGCUUUACUUUGUAGCCAUCGGACCUCUUCUGACAUUCUCUUUUUUGCUUCUGUCAUGAGUGUUUGGAACUCUUGAUGGUUAAGCUUUGUGCCCUUUGUUGGCUAUGUUGAUGUUAGCUUCUGUUAAGUGGUUAAGCCUUGAGUUAUGGCUUCUGCUUAAUGGUUAAGCAUUGAUUUGUUGCUUCCUCCGAGUAGUCCUUGAGUUGUGGUUUCUACUUGAUGGUUAAGCUUUUGCCCUUAGUUGGCUUUGAUGAGUUGUGUUUCUUCCUUAUGGUGGUUAAGCACUACUAGUUGUAUUUGAGUUGUUGUUUUGGCCGAAGUAUUUUCGACAUCUCUCAUUGUAUUUUCUUUUGAUUCGAUGUAAUUUUGUAUUCCUUAUCCCAAGCUAGAAGUGUUGUGAACACCUUCUAGCUUGCGGGAGGCUAUUAGAGGUAUAGUUAGUUGCAUUAGUUACUAGUUAGUUAGUCUAGUUAGUUAGUCUAUAAAUAAGUCAAUUGUACCUAAUUUUCUUAUCAAUUGUAAUUGUACUCAUUAUCAUCAAUACAAAUUUUUUACUUUUCUCUCUA